rnacentral:rRNA from 1 species
UACGGAGGGUGCAAGCGUUAAUCGGAAUUACUGGGCGUAAAGCGCACGUAGGUGGUUUGUUAAGUCAGCUGUGAAAUCCCCGGGCUCAACCUGGGCACUGCAGUUGAAACUGGCAAGCUAGAGUAGGGUAGAGGGGUGUGGAAUUCCAGGUGUAGCGGUGAAAUGCGUAGAUAUCUGGAGGAACAUCAGUGGCGAAGGCGACACCCUGGACUCAUACUGACGCUGAGGAGCGAAAGCGUGGGGGAGCGAACAGG